GACUACAUUUGGCGUCGAGCAUGCACAUCCAAGCACAGAGCACCUGGAGACCUGACUGGCAGAAGACUAAUAGAAACACCUGCUGUGCAGACUCAAAAACUUCCCAGAACUGGGGCAGACACAAUCUCAGUAGUCCCUGCCCGAACAGCCUGGAGCUCGCCGUGUAGAUCAGCAUGCCCUGCGACUCACAGGAAUCCUCCUAUGUUUGCCACCUACCACGUCAGGUGAACUUUUCCCUCCCCUACAACCCAAAUGAGGGUUUCUUUGUGUGUACCCUGUCUGUCCUGGAACUCACUCUGCGGACCAGGCUGGCCUCAAACUCAACAAGAUACCUGCCUGCCUCUGCCUCCCGAGUGCUGGGAUUAGAGAUGCAUGCCACAAUACCUGGCUUGAACUGUGACUUUUAAUUUUAAUUUUGCUUAAGAAUAACUCAUAGUCACCAGCAUUCCAGAAUUCUUAGAGGAUAAGUCUUUGCAAGUACUUCCUGACUGUUGAAUAUAUUACUGAGAACUCAGAACUGAAAAAACAAAAAUGAAAUGCACUUGAGUUCUUAAAUAGGUCUCAGUUAACUCAGGCAAAACAAGAGAGGUUUACUACAAAGGACUAUGUGAAAGGGUUUGCAUUCCCUUGGAAGCUUCCCACUUAUAAAAACAGCUACAACAUAACUGAAAUAAAGUCAAUCCCACCUCUGCCCCCAUACCUGGACCCAGACUUCUGGAGGGCUUACCCACCUCAGGCCCCAGCCUGACCAGGGUAAGCUGGAGCAGGCACUCACCAUCUUGGCCUUCCUGGGGUGUUCACUUCUCCUUUCAUGCUUCUUAUAGGACUCAUAUGAAACAGGAUCGAUGCCCCACAAGCAUUCUGUCCACUUGCCGUAAAUGAUGAAGAGCUUCUUCCUGCUGCAGUGGAAGAGGGCGAAACAGUUAACAGUCAUCUACAAAGCAGGAACUUAAUGCCUACCUGUUGCUCUCCUUCUGCCAAGUCCUGGACAUUCUGGGAUACAAAGAAGAAACUUUGUAUUUCAGAACCUGGUUCAUGCUGUUAGAGACAAAAUCUCCCUAUCCCUGAUGCCAAAGAGGAAAUGAAGGCACAAAAGCCUAAACAGUCCCCAGGGCCUUAGAAAA